CGAACGCUGGCAGCGUGCUUAACACAUGCAAGUCGAGCGAUGAAGCACCUUCGGGUGUGAAUUAGCGGCGAACGGGUGAGGAACACGUGAGAAAUCUGCCUUCAACACUGGGAUAACUCCGGGAAACCGGGGCUAAUACCGGAUAUGAAACCUGCGGGCAUCCGCGGGUUUGGAAAGUUUUUCGGUUGAAGAUGAUCUCGCGGCCUAUCAGCUUGUUGGUGAGGUAAUGGCUCACCAAGGCGACGACGGGUAGCCGGCCUGAGAGGGCGACCGGCCACACUGGGACUGAGACACGGCCCAGACUCCUACGGGAGGCAGCAGUGGGGAAUAUUGGGCAAUGGAGGAAACUCUGACCCAGCGACGCCGCGUGCGGGAUGAAGGCCUUCGGUUGUAAACCGCUUUCAGCAGGAAGAAGCGAAAGUGACGGUACCUGCAGAAGAAGCACCGGCUAACUAUGCGCCAGCAG
rnacentral:rRNA from 1 species